rnacentral:rRNA from 1 species
UACCAGCUCUCCGAGUGGUGUGGAUGUUUAUUGGGCCUAAAGCAUCCGUAGCUGGCUGGGCAAGUCCCCUGUUAAAUCCACCGAUUUAAUCGUUGGAGUGCGGGGGAUACUGUUCGGCUAGGGGACGGGAGAGGCAGACGGUAUUUUCGGGGUAGGGGUGAAAUCCUAUAAUCCCGGGAAGACCACCAGUGGCGAAGGCUGUCUGCUAGAACGCGCCCGACGGUGAGGGAUGAAAGCUGGGGGAGCGAACCGGAUUAGAUACCCGGGUAGUCCCAGCUAGUAAACGAUGCAGGCUAGGUGUUUGGGCGGCCACGUGCCGCUCUAGUGCCGCAGGGAAGCCGUUAAGCCUGCCGCCUGGGGAGUACGGCCGCAAGGCUGAAACUUAAAGGAUUGGCGGGGAGCACCACAAGGGUGAAGCUUGCGGUUU